rnacentral:rRNA from 1 species
UGAGUACGAGAUGCUACGGCAUCGAAGCAGUCUAUGUCAUACUUCCAAGAAAAGCUUGCACUGUCAUAAACAAAGAAUGCCUGUACCAUAACCGACACAGGUGGGUAGGUAGAGUAUACUAAGGGGCGCGAGAUAACUCUCUCUAAGGAACUCGGCAAAAUGACUCCGUAACUUCGGGAGAAGGAGUGCCUUAUUUCUAAGGUUGCAAUAACAAGAUCCAAGCAACUGUUUACCAAAAACACAGGUCUCCGCUAAGUCGUAAGACGAUGUAUGGGGGCUGACGCCUGCCCAGUGCCAGAAGGUUAAAGAAGUUGGUUAGCAUUAGCGAAGCUGAUAACUGAAGCCCUGGUGAACGGCGGCCGUAACAAUAACGGUCCUAAGGUGGCGAAAUUCCUUGUCGGGUAAGUUCCGACCCGCACGAAAGGCGUAAUGAUUUGGAUACUGUCUCGGAGAGGGGCUCGGUGAAAUAGACUUGUCUGUGAAGAUGCGGACUACCUGCACCUGGACAGAAAGACCCUAUGAAGCUUUACUGUAACUUGAGAUUGAAAUUGGACUUUAUUUGCGCAGUAUAGGUGGGAGGCGUUGAGAAUAAUCUUGCGGGAUUGUUGGAGCCAUCAGUGAGAUACCACUCUUGUAAUGUUAGAUUUCUAACUUUGUAUCAUUAUCUGGUCAAAGAACAGUUUCAGGCGGGCAGUUUGACUGGGGCGGUCGCCUCCCAAAGGGUAACGGAGGCGCACAAAGGUUUCCUCUGAACGGGUAGAAAUCGUAUCUAGAGUGUAAAGGCAUAAGGAAGCUUGACUGUGAGACCUACAAGUCGAGCAGGGACGAAAGUCGGUCUUAGUGAUCUGACGGUGCUGAGUGGAAAGGCCGUCACUCAACGGAUAAAAGUUACUCUAAGGAUAACAGGCUGAUCUCCCCCAAGAGUUCACAUCGACGGGGAGGUUUGGCACCUCGAUGUCGGCUCAUCGCAUCCUGGGGCGGUAGUCCGUCCCAAGGGUUGGGCUGUUCGCCCAUGAAAGCGGUACGCGAGCUGGGUUCAGAACGUCGUGAGACAGUUCGGUCCAUAUCCGGUGUAGGCGUUAGAAUAUUGAGAGGAGCCUUCUCUAGUACGAGAGGACCGAGAAGGACAUACCUCUGGUGUACCAGUUAUCGUGCCAACGGUAAACGCUGGGUAGCUAUGUAUGGAGUGGAUAACCGCUGAAAGCAUCUAAGAGGGAAGCCCACCUCAAGAUAAGUAUUCUC